GUGAGGAAUAUUGGACAAUGGGCGCAAGCCUGAUCCAGCAAUGCCGCGUGGGUGAAGAAGGUCUUCGGAUCGUAAAGCCCUUUCGUCAGGGACGAUGAUGACGGUACCUGUAGAAGAAGCCCCGGCUAACUUCGUGCCAGCAGCCGCGGUAAUACGAAGGGGGCUAGCGUUACUCGGAAUUACUGGGCGUAAAGGGCGCGUAGGCGGCUCUGUUAGUCAGGCGUGAAAUUCCUGGGCUUAACCUGGGGACUGCGCUUGAUACUGCAGGGCUUGAGGCCGAGAGAGGGUGGUGGAAUUCCCAGUGUAGAGGUGAAAUUCGUAGAUAUUGGGAAGAACACCGGUGGCGAAGGCGACCACCUGGCUCGGUUCUGACGCUGAGGCGCGACAGCGUGGGGAGCAAACAGGAUUAGAAACCCCAGUAGUCC
rnacentral:rRNA from 1 species